GUCUUUGUGGCAGGGUGAAAGUCCCUACCGAUGGUAAUAGUCCAUGACCCGUUGUUUAAACGGCUGAGCCGGUGCAAUUCCGGCACCGACGGUAUAGUCCGGAUGAGAAAAGAC
rnacentral:ncRNA from 1 species